rnacentral:rRNA from 1 species
AACGUAGGUGGCAAGCGUUAUCCGGAUUUACUGGGCGUAAAGCAUGUGCAGACGGGUUGGUAAGUGGUGUAUGAAAGCGUUCGGCUUAACCGAGCAAGCGUAUGCCAGACUGCCAGUCUUGAGAGUGGGAGAGGGAUGUGGAAUUCCGGGUGUAGCGGUGGAAUGCGCAGAUAUCGGGAGGAACACCCGUAGCGAAGGCGGUUCUCUGGGCCAAUACUGACGCUGAGGAGCGAAAGCGUGGGGAGCAAACAGG